GAUGAACGCUGGCGGCGUGCCUAAUACAUGCAAGUCGAGCGAACGGACGAGAAGCUUGCUCCUCUGACGUUAGCGGCGGACGGGUGAGUAACACGUGGAUAACCUACCUAUAAGACUGGGAUAACUUCGGGAAACCGGAGCUAAUACCGGAUAAUAUUUUGAACCGCAUGGUUCAAAAGUGAAAGACGGUCUUGCUGUCACUUAUAGAUGGAUCCGCGCUGCAUUAGCUAGUUGGUAAGGUAACGGCUUACCAAGGCAACGAUGCGUAGCCGACCUGAGAGGGUGGUCGGCCACACUGGAACUGAGACACGGUCCAGACUCCUACGGGAGGCAGCAGUAGGGAAUCUUCCGCAAUGGGCGAAAGCCUGACGGAGCAACGCCGCGUGAGUGAUGAAGGUCUUCGGAUCGUAAAACUCUGUUAUUAGGGAAGAACAAAUGUGUAAGUAACUGUGCACAUCUUGACGGUACCUAAUCAGAAAGCCACGGCUAACUACGUG
rnacentral:rRNA from 1 species